AUCUCUUCCUUUGUAGAGACACCCUUUGUGUUUAACAUUCCAGGUUUCCCUAGAGAAGCGGUGAGCAGAAGGACUUUGUGUCUCCUACAUAAAAGUAGGUUAAAACUCUUUCCUUGGGUGCAUGUGUCCUCUGUGGUGGACUGCUCACUGGUGAAGUGAUGCUGUGCAAUUAUAAGGACCUGGGUUUGGAUUCCCUGCAUCUAUGGAAAAGCCAGGAAGUACUCCCAAAGCCUUCCUACGUAACUGGGUUACCAAGAUAAUGAUGAGGACGGUCUGUUUAAACCAGAAUCAGGUGCCAUAUCUGUGGGCUGAAGACAAACAAACUGGAAAAUAGUAAACCACGAGUCUUGCCCCUCUCCCUGUAGUCCCCAGUUGCUAACUUGAGACUUGAACAAAUGCAAGAAAUCUGCCCCAAAUAAGCCACAUCAGAACCUGGGAAACAUCAUUUUACUUUAUAGCUACUACAGUUGGAAAAGCCUGAAAGUGGAGUUGAAAUCAAGCAUAUGUAGUUCAUCCUGUUCACCACAUCACAUGGGACAACACGAAACUUAGGCUGCCAAGUGGGACGGAAACUCUCUUUGAAGUCUCCUCACCUUUCUAUUGUCCUUCUCUUCUCAAGAAUGAAUUCAACUUAGGCUAUUGCCAAGGUUUUGGUUGUUCUCCAUAAACUGAUGGUAAGGCUCUAUUGCUGAAGACAACACUUAUAUAUUUCAUUGAACACAGAGAAAUGGAGCUGAUGCUUAACUACAGACUUCAGCUGGUACUAGAGGAGAAAGGUAACCACCAGCUCAGCUACAAACUCUUUGAUCUACAAUGGUGACCUGUCUACAUGAUAUGCUUGCUAGUGCAAUAGUGGCACCAAAGUUGUGGGAGCAACCAACCAAUAUCUGACUGGAUUUUAAGGCCCACUUCAUGAGAUGGAAUUCAUGCCUGACACUACUCAGGUGGCCAAGAGACUGAGACUGGAAAGGAUAGGCCUAGGGAAAACCAAAUACUAUUGUUCUGCCAAAGUGGCAUAGCAAUAAAAUGACUCCUCACAACAUUCUGCUGUACCCAGAGGUCAGUGCCUUUCUCAGCCAUUGUCAGAGAAGCUUCCUUUUGAAGUAGACGGGCACUAGCAGAGAGACCCACAACUGGACAGUUGCUGAGAGUGAGAGACUCUGGAGCACUCAGUUCUCAAUGGGAUGUCUUCAUCAAACCCCUCCCCUCAGGGCUCAGGGAAGAGGAAACUGAAAAAGUGUAAGAGCCAAAGGGGAUGGAUAAUUCCAAGGAAACAAUGUCUUCCGAACACAACAGGACUGAUGAAAAUAGGAACUCACAAAGACCUUGGCAACAUGCACAGGGCCUGUACAAGUUCAAGUCAGACAGGGUCCCAGGACUGAGAGGGAAAGUGGACACAAGUCCCCAUACCUAACUAACCAAGUUGCUAUCUCCAAUUGACACAUGCUUGCAAAGAAUAAAUUAGUUUUGUCCAAUGGAGUCUCACUAGGUUUAUUAACCACAAUCAGGGUAGGCCCCAUGCUGAGCAGUAGAUGCCAACACUAAAAGAACUCAA
ensembl:lncRNA